UACGUAGGGUGCAAGCGUUAAUCGGAAUUACUGGGCGUAAAGCGUGCGCAGGCGGUGAUGUAAGACAGAUGUGAAAGCCCCGGGCUUAACCUGGGAAUGGCCGUUGAAACUGGCGAACUGGAGUGUGGCAGAGGGGGGUGGAAUUCCUGGUGUAGCGGUGAAAUGCGCAGAUAUCAGGAAGAACACCCGUGGCGAAGGCGGCUCUCUGGGACGGUACUGACGCUGAGACGCGAAAGCGUGGGAGCGAACAGG
rnacentral:rRNA from 1 species